GCACCCAGCAAUCUUUUGCCUACGGCUCCACCAAGACCCCUGCGCUUCCUCGCCAGCUUGAAGUUGAUCCUUCUAUGGGAUUGUCCGAGAUGAUCGAUACCCUUGAUGAUGGCUUGCGUCAAGCUCAAGACCGUGAACUUGCUCGUGUUGAUGUUGAAGACCCAACUCACCCCGUUCCCGAAAGACGCCAAACCCGGUCAAUGAGUGCAUCUGUCCGGUCCAGCAUAUCUCCAGCCCCUGGACCUGUUUCCCGUAGAGCUUCGUCUCGCAACGCCACAACGCGCAGCAGAGUAGGUCCCCGUAGAGCUGCCUCACGGCAGACAACGCCGGAAGAGCAACUUCUUGAAACUCUCCGUGAAGUAUCUGAAGAAACUGAA
rnacentral:sRNA from 2 species